CGAAGGUGGCAAGCGUUACUCGGAAUUACUAGGCGUAAAGGGCAGGUAGGUGGUUUGGUUAGUCUGUUGUGAAAGCUCCUUGCUUAACGGGGAGAGGCCAACAGAUACUGCCAGACUUGAGUAUAGGAGAGGGUACUGGAAUUCCCGGUGUAGCGGUGAAAUGCGCAGAGAUCGGGAGGAACACCAAUGGCGAAAGCAGGUACCUGGACUAUUACUGACACUCAGCUGCGAAAGCUAGGGGAGCAAACAGGAUUAGAUACCCUGGUAGUCCUAGCCGUAAACGAUGCACAUUAGGCGUGAGGGGUAUCGACCCCCUUCGUGCCGAAGCAAACGCAUUAAAUGUGCCGCCUGGGGAGUACGGCCGCAAGGUUG
rnacentral:rRNA from 1 species